rnacentral:tRNA from 1 species
UAGGAUGUAGCUCAGUGGUAGAGUGCUUGCCUAGUAUAAAGCCCUGGGUUCAAUUCCCAGCACCCCAC